rnacentral:rRNA from 1 species
GCCAGACUCCUACGGGAGGCAGCAGUGGGGAAUAUUGCACAAUGGGGGAAACCCUGAUGCAGCGACGCCGCGUGAGUGAAGAAGUAUUUCGGUAUGUAAAGCUCUAUCAGCAGGGAAGAAAAUGACGGUACCUGACUAAGAAGCCCCGGCUAACUACGUGCCAGCAGCCGCGGUAAUACGUAGGGGGCAAGCGUUAUCCGGAUUUACUGGGUGUAAAGGGAGCGUAGACGGCAGGGCAAGUCUGGAGUGAAAGGCAGGGGCCCAACCCCUGGACUGCUCUGGAAACUGUCCGGCUGGAGUGCAGGAGAGGUAAGUGGAAUUCCUAGUGUAGCGGUGAAAUGCGUAGAUAUUAGGAGGAACACCAGUGGCGAAGGCGGUCUGCUGGACAGCAACUGACGCUGAGGCGCGAAAGCGUGGGGAGCAAACAGGAUUAGAUACCCUCGUA